GUGUGUUAAUGUAGAAAUUGUGCAACAGCUUGAAAUAUCAUAAAGAAGGUCUGCACAAGUUAAGACUAUUACCUACAAGCUCCAACCCCACACAACCAGCGCAUGCAGCUACAGCUACACAACCAAGGAGCAGCCAUUCUGUGUGCCGAGGAUCGCUGUACAUACAGUGCAGUGUACGUGUAUGCUGUGUACAUGCUGUGUAUGCUGUGUACAUGAUGUGUACAUGCUGUGCUGUGUACAUGCUGUGUAUGCUGUGUGUGCUUGUGUACUGUGUACGUGCAUGCAGCUACAUCUACACAACCAAGGAGCAGCCAUUUUAUUUUGUGUGCCGAGGAUCGCUGUACAUGCAGUGCAGUGUACGUGUAUGCUGUGUACAUGCAGCAAUAUAGCUAGUACUAGUAGCCUACGUGCACUGUUCACAGUCCAGCUUCAUGCCUCGUGUACAUCUCGGUGUUUUAGAUCUGCAAAUUCAUGCUGAAUUCUGUUUUUCCCGGCUAAUCUACAACAGUAUGGAUAUAUACGCAACAUGACAAAUGAGUAGUUUCCAUAUCGACUUCGUUCUUUCUCAUCUUGACCAAAACAUCAACGCCACCAUCACCAUUUCUUCGUCGUUAACCUCCGUUUUGGCGUUUGAACUUGAAGUUUGUUGCGAACUCUAAUAAUGAAUUUGGACAUUGGCAUUAUCGACUUUUGUUCUAUCUUUGAACACCAUCGACGUCGAACUUUGAUUGAAGGUAAGAACCUCCUCUUUACCUUCUUCGUCUCUACGAUUUGCGUUUCGUCGUUUGCAAGUCUGAUCCUGACUCCGGCUAAUGAUGAAUUUAUCGACUUUCGAUCUGUCUUCGAUCACCGUCGACGUCGGAACUCUACACCAAGUUUCACCAUCGCCAUACAUGGACUUCGCAUACGAUCGACAUUGCAGACUCUUGGCUUUUAUUCAUCAUUCAUUUUUGAACUGUAUUAUGAUUACCGACGUCAUAUAUGAUCUACCAUAGCAAGUAGGCCUAGCUACCAAUUGUUUCUUCAACCAAAAUCAAGUACGACAUCUUCGACGAAUCUCGCACCUCCGCUGGAAGGACAGUUUGUAAAUUGUACUAUUGAAUAUAAGCGGCAGUCUUUCGCUAUAGAAAUAGACUAACCAAUUUACUUAUAAUAUUGCUGUGUGCUGAAAGUGUUUAGUGUCAUAUGCAAUGUAACAAGCGGCAGUCUUUCGCUAUAGAAAUAGACUUCAGUUUUCGACUGUAAAUUGUUUUAUAUAUUUUACAUUAUAUA